rnacentral:ribozyme from 1 species
ACUUUUUUUUUUUUUUUUUUUUUUUUUUUUUUUUUUUUUUUUUUUUUUUUUUUUUUUUUUUUUUUUUUUUUUAACAGAGCACAAGUUCAGACUUCUGCACUUG